UGGGGAAUAUUGGACAAUGGGCGCAAGCCUGAUCCAGCCAUGCCGCGUGUGUGAAGAAGGCCUUUUGGUUGUAAAGCACUUUAAGCGAGGAGGAGGCUACUUGGAUUAAUACUCUAGGAUAGUGGACGUUACUCGCAGAAUAAGCACCGGCUAACUCUGUGCCAGCAGCCGCGGUAAUACAGAGGGUGCGAGCGUUAAUCGGAUUUACUGGGCGUAAAGCGUGCGUAGGCGGCUUUUUAAGUCGGAUGUGAAAUCCCUGAGCUUAACUUAGGAAUUGCAUUCGAUACUGGGAAGCUAGAGUAUGGGAGAGGAUGGUAGAAUUCCAGGUGUAGCGGCGAAAUGCGUAGAGAUCUGGAGGAAUACCGAUGGCGAAGGCAGCCAUCUGGCCUAAUACUGACGCUGAGGUACGAAAGCAUGGGGAGCAAACAGG
rnacentral:rRNA from 1 species